UGGUAGUCUCCGUUUUGGGUUUAUUUUUCGUCCCACCAUUUUCGUCUGGUUUUUUUCGUUGGUUUUUUUCGUCGGUUUUCUCGUCCCUUCCCCGCACAUAGCAAAAAAACAGCCAGCGAGGCUCCCCUAGAUCUAUGUAUUCUAUCCUGCGAUCUCUCAAGGACGCCCCAGCCCCCAAUACGAGCCGCCGCCGAGAUCCAAGACGAGCCGCCGCUGAGAUCCGAGUCGAUCCGCCGCCGCCGAGGACCGAGUGGAGCCGCCGCCGGCGCUGGCCAGGCUCCCCACGAUGUGCGCGCCGGGGCGCCGCUCCCGCUCCCGCAGCCGAGCAUAGCAGCAGCGGCGGAGCCCUGCCGCUGGCGAGCUCUCUCUGGCGGAGGAGGGCGGGGGCGAGCUCACCGUCUCCCUCGCGCUCAACGCCAGCGGGGACGCAGGCUUCGACACAGCCGCCUACAUAGGCGCGCUCCAGGCAGGGCGCUUCGGGAGGUGGAUUCUUUGGUCGCCGCGGAUGGCAUCCACGCACGACCUCGUGACACAGAACUUCGCCAAACUUCCGGUGGGCGUCGUGUGCGCCACAAACAUGCAGUUCAAAGGCAAAGGUAUGAUUGGAAUAAUCAACCACACCCGCCUCGUCCUACCGGAGGCAGCUCCCCUCCACGUGGCCGCUGCAAGAGCAGCCGUCAGAUCCUGACGCGUCGUCGACGAUGACUACGGCAGGUGUGACGCACCGGCGUCGGAUACAGUGACCGUGAUAGCUGACAGGCGUCGGCUCCGUUGAUCGCGACGAAGCGAGGUACCAGCGACCAUGACCUUGAUGAGAGGCAGGUGGUAAAGUCGAAACCGCCUUGUCCAUGGCUGCAGGUUGCUUCCCGAUCAGUCCAAGAUCCGUCCGAGCCGACGGCAAGACGAACGCUUCCCAUGUGCAGUGCACAUAGUAGGUCAUGGGGAGAAGAAAAGCAGCGGAGAAGAAGAGAUUGAAUUAUAUGUGCUUCUUGUAUGAGCUACCGUUGGGGCACUCUUUUGGGGUUGAUCGGCACAGUGGAGGACAGGGAAGGAGGAGAAGGAUGUGAGGUGUGUAGAAUUCGGCGCAAAGGGAGACGAUCAAGAUGGUGGAGCAGAAUCCAGAGGACGCCGGAAGACCAGGUAGAGGAGAGACACCACUCAGAGCCCAUCGAUCCAGUGAGCAGUGUGUGGUGUUCUUGGUGACUGGUUUCGUGAUGUAGGUGUCCUGAUCCAACUUCCUCUUUUCCUUCUUUGUGGUCUAUCUGCUGCGAUUGCCGCACAGGAAACCUGCCGAGCCGACAUUGACGCCAAGUGCGGCGAUGCCGCUCCAAUGAUUGUGAGGGCAAGUUCUUCCCGGGCUUUACCAAGAUCAACUAUGAGGGUCCAACUAGCAAGAGGCCGCUUGCUUACAAGUGGUAUAACAUAGAGGAAGUGAUUCUUAUAAAGAAAAUGAAAGUAUGAUUUCCAGAAAUAUGCCUUUUUGGUGUAUAUCCUUUUAAUUUACUUGUACAUUAUGUGCUACACUAGGAUUACAUAUUUGUUUUGUGUUACGGGUUUAGUUGUGGUUUUAGUGUGGCAUUCUAGCAUACGUUCCGGGAUACCGGAGGAGAUCCUUUUGGUGCACCUACAAAGAACUGGCCUUGGGAGGAUGGCAUGAAUUCCAUGGCCAUGGCUACGAAAACUAUGGGACUUAUUACUUAUUGAUAGAGCUGACAUGUGAUUUAACUGCUAAUGAGGGUAGUUUAGGUUUCAUUGUCUUUAAUAAUUUUUGGCUUGGCCGUCAGGGUACUGCAAUACUAUGGGUUGAUAAAGAAAGAAGGAAAAUAAACGAGAAAGCAAGACGGAAUUGGCAGAAUCACGACAAAGGACGUACCCAGCAAUGAAUUGAGAAUCGCUAUUGGAAUAUUUCUUUAUUUCUUUUUGACCGCAUACAUCCUGAGACUCUUGUUUUGGACGUUCACGCUGUUCACUAGAUGGUUUUUCUAGAUUUUGCCGCCGAAGAUGAAGAGAGUGCUGCUGUGUUUCUUCGGAGCGAAAUGGCAGAGUUGCCUCAACAUAUCUAAGGUCCCACUGAACCAGGUUGAGAAGUGGAACAAGCAGAGGGAGAAUGAGACAUUUGUAGGGCCCCUCGAAAUCGUCUGUUUGAGAGUCUCCUCGGUUGCUUUUGUGUCUGCGCUACUACUGACUUGUAGUUGGAAUUUAUGCUCCUGUCAUGUACUCUCUUCCAACAAUCGCUGCAGAACAUCAAGUGAUGCUUUUCUCUAUGUUGCAUAAAUAGUUCAACAUGCUUAAAUGUACGCAUGUCUUGCCUGGGACUUGUGAAUGCCGAGAACCUAUGAGACAUUUUUGGUUCUAAGUCAUGCUGAUGUGAGAGAAUAUGUUGUUGUUAUGUGACAGCGCAAUUAUGUGAUGAUAUAUUGAUUCCAAGUCAA